AAACCUAAUCUUCUCGAACUCGUUCUCUCUCUCUCACACUCUCUCGAACCCUAGCCUCCAAUCCCUAAUUGAAGAUCAAGGCUUCCUGAACGCGAGGCACAGAUUAAAUUUCAUCUUUGUUUUCACGAUUUCCCUCAAAACAAAACCCAGAUCCUCUUCCCUGCCAUAAUUUUUCUUCGCCCUAGCUCUUCUUCGCCUUUGUUCGUCUUCAUCGUAGCUUCUGCCACCGCAGUUCCUCUUGUCGCCGCCAUAUCUCUUCCUCAACGAAGAUGAAAAUGAUGAUUACUAAAUUAUAAAUGAAGCAUAUGUGUGAUCCAUUCAGCAUCAGUUCCUUCAAUCUGAGCAAACAAAGAGUUCAGCGUAUGUAUACAUCUAACCCCAUCUUUCACAAAUGGACAGAACAUAUUGAGAUUGAUUGUCAAUGGAAUGAUGAGGGAUCCGGUGAUGAGGAGUGCUGCUAAUGGAAGGCAGAAUGGUUUCACUGAGGAUGAAUUGUCAGAUUCUGCGGCAAGCUCAGAAUUUUCUACCACACAAGUAGGAAAUAGUAUCAAUGGUUCUCUUCCAAAAAGUAAGGCUUAUAUGUUAGCAGGGGAUGCUUCUAUGUGCAAAGUUAUGCAGAAAAGCAUGACUUAUGUUGGAGCAGGAAUGAUCUGUUCUCAUCUUGUCAAUUUAUCAUUGUUUUUCGGUGUUGUGGUUUCAUGGGGCAUUAUGUGGCCAUUGAUCAGAGUACUUAAAGGAAGUUGGUUCUCUGAAAGUUUACCGGAGAGUAGCAUGAAGAGUCUUAAUGGUUAUAAGGUCUUUGAAUGAACACAAAUUGAAGGACACACUAUUAGAACUAACAUGAUUUCAGUUUUGAUUUUUUUCCAUUUUAAGCCUUAACUUUCCUUUAUUUUCAUGAUGCAGGUUUUUAUUUCCAUUGCAUUAAUCCUUGGUGAUGAACUCUACAAUUUUAUCAAAAUUAUAUAUUUUAGUGCCUUUUUAUCUUCUCUUUAUUUCUUGGUUUUGUUUCCCUUUUCUAUUAUGUUAAUGGUGUUUCCCUUGUUGAUGACUUUCUAUAUAUAAAGUCUUAGUGUAUGGAGAUUGUCCAUUUCUUGUUUCAUACCUUCCUGAUUCUUCAGCAUCAACCUCGGGAGUAGAUGGGAGCUUGUCGGUAUCUAGAUUUCCCGUUGAUCAUGAAAUCAAUUUGAGGAUUUAUUUGUAGAUGGAUUCUGUUGUAAAUUCAACCAAUGAGGUGUUCAAUGAUCCCACGACAUUAACAAAGGAGGAGCUGUAUGAUUUGCGAGACCGCUGGGCAACUUGUUUUCUUGACCUAUAUAAUCCUGAGGUAGAUUAUGAUGAUGCUGAUGAGAAAGAUUAGGAGCUAGCUAGCUAGGUUUGUGUGAAGUUACAAUGGAUUAGUAUUAAUUAUGAUGAUGUUUUUAUUUGUAUUUUGGAUGUUCAAUGGUUGUAUUUUAACGACAUUAUUACUAUAUGUUGAAUGUUGAAUUUUAGUAUUAUGUUCUUGAUGCAAGUUAUGUUA